rnacentral:lncRNA from 1 species
CUACCCAUGCAUUUCCAGAACUCCACCGGGAUCUCGUCAGGCCCGGUCGCUCGACCCCUACUCAUCCUACGCAAAGCCCCCAUGACCUCCUCCCGCCUAAUGUGCCUGCAGUACCCAAGGUCUCUACGUUGCUAUGAAUGCCCCAACUCCCCUAGCUCUAUGUUACGAUUCCUUUCCUUGUUAAGUAAGUCUCGAAAGUACGCCUGCCACCUCUGCUUGACUUGAGACUCCCCCAUCCAAGGUCUCUAUGUUGCUCUGAAUUCCCCAGCUCCCUUAGCUCUAUGUUACGAUCCACCUCCUCGUUAAGUAAGUCUCGAAAGUACGCCUGUCAUCUCUGCUUGACUUGAGACUCCCCAUCAGAAGUCUAUCAUCCUCGUCCUUGAUGCACCUAACUUGGUCAAGUUCACG